AGAGUUUGAUCAUGGCUCAGGACGAACGCUGGCGGCGUGCCUAACACAUGCAAGUCGAACGGAGAUAUUUAGAGCUUGCUUUGGAUAUCUUAGUGGCGGACGGGUGAGUAACGCGUGAGUAACCUGCCUCUUAGAGGGGGAUAACGUUCUGAAAAGAACGCUAAUACCGCAUGAUAUUGCGAAACCGCAUGGUUUUGCAAUCAAAGGAGCAAUCCGCUGAGAGAUGGACUCGCGUCCGAUUAGAUAGUUGGCGGGGUAACGGCCCACCAAGUCGACGAUCGGUAGCCGG
rnacentral:rRNA from 1 species